UUAAGUAGGAAUUUAAUUUUGGUUCCGAUUGAACGUUUUUCAGUAGUUUUAAGACAUGCAAAUCGUUUGUAUAUGUUAAAUCUAUAGUUUAGUUCAAACUAUAUGAUUGAAAAUAUACAAGGUGUAGAGGUGAGUAUUGUAAAUGAGAUACCCUUGUAGACUUCAGAAAUAGAAGAUAAUUCUUUUCAUUAAUGAUAUUCUUAAAGAUACACAAAGAAAUCUUAUAAGAGUAAUAGGUACGCUGAGCGUUUCGCUGAGCGAAUCUAUAAAGAAUAUAAAAAGUGAAAACUUUAAAAAACAAAGGAAAUUUUCCGCUAUUAGGAUUCAAUUUACAUUCGAUUAGGUAGUUGGUGGGGUAGAAGCCUACCAAGCCGAAGAUCGAUAGUCAAGUUUGAUAGAACUAAUGACCACAUUGGGAAUGAGAUCUCCCAAGUAGCGUUUAAAGCUACCAGCAGUCAAGAAUAUUAGUCAAUGCUCGCAAGAGUGAACUAGCUAACUGAAAUCCUUGAUGUGUCAUUGAGGAUAAGGUAAGGGAAAAUAAUGAUAAUACCUUACUAUUAGUGUCGUCCAAAACUCGUGCCAGAAGACUCGGUAAGGCGAGAGACGCAAACGUUAAUCAUCUUAAUCAGGCGUAAAGGGUGUGUAGGCUGUUUAAGUUAAAUAAAUUUAGUUUAACGAAAUUAAUUAUUUAAUGUAUACUAGAAUCUAAAGGAGGUUAAAACAAUACUUUUCAUUGUAGGUGUUCGAACUUAAGAAGAUAAGUAGAGUGUUAAAGGCGAAGGCUUUUUUCCAAUAAAGAUUGACGCUGAGAAACGAAGGAGAGGGCAGAAAAAAGGAUUAGAGACCCUUGUAUUCCUCUCUGUCAACGAUGAAUGGUAGUCAUGAGGUAGAAAUAACCUUGAGGCGAUGUUAACACGUAAAACCAUUCCGCCUUGUGAGUACGACUGCAAAGUUGAAAACAAAAAAAUUAGUCGGUUUCGGAGCAAACGAAGUGAAGCAUGUUAUUUAAAACGAUAGUCCGCGUAAAACCUUACCAGUCCUUGUAUAAAAACUUUUAGCUGUUAGUUUUACUAAUGGCACCUUCCUUUAGGGAGGGUAAAGGAAUAUUGACUUUAAUUUAGUAAUUAAAGAGAUAUUUAAUACAGGUGUUGCAUGGCUGUCUUCAGUCCGUUUUGUAAAAAGUUAGGUUAAAUCCGUUAACGGACGCAAUCCCUAUUGUUAAUUUCUACUUAACAAUUAAUGAUUCUGAUAAGGUUUCAUCUGGGGCUAAGACAAGCCUUUAUGGCCCUCAUGGACUGGGCUAUAGACGUGCUAUAAAGACUUUCACAAAAUGAAGCAUAACUUCUCCGCAAUCUUAAUUGAGAGCAUCUUUAGUUUUCAUAAACUAGGGAUUAGCAUAAGGAAAAGCUAAUCAUUAAAAAAAGUCAAAUAUAUAUCUUAACGUACGGAUUGUCGCCUGAAACUUGGCGACAUGAAGGAGGAAUUUCGAGUAAUCGUUGAUCAUUAGGCGCAACGGUGAAUUUUGGAUCCGAUAUGAACUAACCGUCUGUCGCUGGGAAGAAGCUUAUAGUAGUGGAAACCGGCUUUGAUUGAAAUUUUAUUUUGCUUUAAAGUUUUAUUGUUGUUUCAAACUGUCACAGGCACAAAUUUAUAAUAAAAUAGUAUAAAAAUUAAUUUUAGUUAAAGUUUUUUAAGCUACAUAUGUAACAUCUCAAAAGUCAUAGCAGGGUAGUUGUACUGGAAAGUGCAGCUGGAUAAUGAAUAAU
rnacentral:rRNA from 1 species